rnacentral:rRNA from 1 species
CCUACGGGCGGCAGCAGUGAGGAAUAUUGGUCAAUGGGCGAGAGCCUGAACCAGCCAAGUCGCGUGAGGGAAGACGGUCCUAUGGAUUGUAAACCUCUUUUGCCGGGGAGCAAAAAGCGGUACGUGUACCGCAUCGAGAGUACCCGGAGAAAAAGCAUCGGCUAACUCCGUGCCAGCAGCCGCGGUAAUACGGAGGAUGCGAGCGUUAUCCGGAUUUAUUGGGGUUAAAGGGUGCGCAGGCGGCGAGUUAAGUCAGCGGUAAAAUUUCGGGGCUCAACCCCGACGAGCCGUUGAAACUGGCUUGCUAGAGUGGGCGAGAAGUAUGCGGAAUGCGUAGAUAUUAGGAGGAACACCAGAGGCGAAGGCGAUUAACUGGACCGUAACUGACGCUGAGGCACGAAAGUGUGGGUAGCAAACAGGAUUAGAUACCCUUGUAGUC